rnacentral:sRNA from 1 species
GCCAGGUGCGGUGGUGCACACCUGUAGUCCAGCUGGGAGGCUGAGAUGGGAGGACGAGGAGGUCAAGGCCAGCCUCGGCAACAUGGCAAGAUCCCCCAUCUCAA